GACGAACGCUGGCGGCGUGCUUAACACAUGCAAGUCGAACGGAAAGGCCCUGCUUGCAGGGUACUCGAGUGGCGAACGGGUGAGUAACACGUGGGUGAUCUGCCCUGCACUUCGGGAUAAGCCUGGGAAACUGGGUCUAAUACCGGAUAGGAGCCAUUUUUAGUGUGAUGGUUGGAAAGUUUUUUCGGUGUAGGAUGAGCUCGCGGCCUAUCAGCUUGUUGGUGGGGUAAUGGCCUACCAAGGCGGCGACGGGUAGCCGGCCUGAGAGGGUGGACGGCCACAUUGGGACUGAGAUACGGCCCAGGCUCCUACGGGAGGCAGCAGUGGGGAAGAUUGCACAAUGGGCGCAAGCCUGAUGCAGCGACGCCGCGUGGGGGAUGACGGCCUUCGGGUUGUAAACUCCUUUCGCUAGGGACGAAGCUUUUUGUGACGGUACCUAGAGAAGAAGCACCGGCUAACUACGUG
rnacentral:rRNA from 1 species